rnacentral:rRNA from 1 species
AGAGCGUAGAGUGAAUGCCUUGGCAUUGGGAGCCGACGAAGGACGUGGUUAACUGCGAAAAGCUACGGGGAGUCGUAAGCAGACAUUGAUCCGUAGAUGUCCGAAUGGAGCAAUCCGCAUGGAGAUAGUCCAUGCAUCCAUAAGUGAAUUCAUAGCUUAUGGAGGGGAACCGCCUGAACUGAAACAUCUAAGUAGGGCGAGGAAGAGAAAUCAAACGAGAUUUCGUAAGUAGUGGCGAGCGAACGCGAAAGAGGCUAAACCAAGAGAAGAAAUUCUUUUGGGGUUACGGACUGCGAUAUGUAUCUGAGGACUUAGCAGAAUGGUAUGGGAAAGCCAACCAGAGAAUGUGAUAGUCAUGUAUGCGAAAAGGAAUCAGAGCUAGCAGGAUCCAAAGUACCGCGGGACACGAGGAAUCCCGUGGGAAGUCGGGGGGACCACCCUCCAAGCCUAAAUACUACCCAAUGACCGAUAGCGAAAAGUACUGUGAAGGAACGGUGAAAAGAACCCCGGGAGGGGAGUGAAAAGAACCUGAAACUUUAUGCUUACAAGCACAUAGAGCACGUCAAAGUGUGAUAUGGUACCUUUUGUAGAAUGGUCCGGCGAGUUAUUGUAUGCAGCAAGGUUAAGGUCUUCAGGACUGAAGCCGAAGCGAGAGCGAGUCUGACAAGGGCGGUAAGUUGCAUGCAAUAGACCCGAAACCGGGUGACCUAGCCAUGUUCAGGUUGAAGUGGAGGUAAAGCUCCAUGGAGGACCGAACCGACCUCCGUUGAAAAGGCGGCGGAUGAAAUGUGGCUAGCGGAGAAAUUCCAAUCGAACCCGGAAAUAGCUGGUUCUCCCCGAAAUAGCUUUAGGGCUAGCGUUGUAUUAGAUUUCUGGGGGUAAAGCACUGAAUAGGCUAGGGGCCGAGAGGUUACUGAACCUUAUCAAACUAAGAAUACCAGAAAAUUGAUGUACAGCAGUCAGACUAUGUGAGAUAAGUCUCAUAGUCAAAAGGGAAACAGCCCAGACCCACAGCUAAGGUCCCAAAACAGAUUUAAGUGGAAAAGGAUGUGGGAUUGCCCAGACAACCAGGAUGUUGGCUUAGAAGCAGCCACACAUUAAAAGAGUGCGUAAUAGCUCACUGGUCGAGUGAUCCUGCGCCGAAAAUUCAACGGGGCUAAAAUUUGUACCGAAGCUUGGGCUUGAUACUUUGUAUCAGGGGUAGGGGAGCGUCAUGUAUGAGGAGAAGUCAUAGCGGAAGCGGUGGUGGAUUGUACAUGAGAGAGAAUGCCGGAAUGAGUAGCGAGAAUUAUGUGAGAAUCAUAAUGGCCGAAAAUCUAAGGUUUCCUGAGGAAGGUUCGUCCGCUCAGGGUAAGCCGGGAGCUAAGGUGAGGCGGAAACGCGUAGCCGAUGCACAUACGGUAGAGAUUCCGUAGCCUCCGAAAAGUAAAGCACAGGGACGCUUCAGAAGUGUUACGCCGGGCGAUGGUUGCCCCGGUUGUAAAGGACACAAUUGAGUGGAAGGUAACAUGGAUGGAGACAAGAAAAGCUGUGUGUAUCUGGAAGGAGCCCGUACCGCAAACCGACACAGGUAGAUAGGAAGAAGAUUCUAAGGCCAGCGGGAGAAGGGUUGUUAAGGAACUCGGCAAGUUGACCCCGUAACUUCGGGAGAAGGGGUGCUUACGAAGGUAAGCCGCAGAGAAUAGGCCCAAGCGACUGUUUAGCAAAAACACAGCUCUAUGCUAAAUCGAAAGAUGACGUAUAUGGGGUGACACCUGCCCGGUGCUGGAAGGUUAAGAGGAGAUGUGAGAGCAUUGAAUUGAAGCCCCAGUAAACGGCGGCCGUAACUAUAACGGUCCUAAGGUAGCGAAAUUCCUUGUCAGGUAAGUUCUGACCCGCACGAAUGGCGUAACGAUCUGGGCACUGUCUCAACAGCCCGCCCGGCGAAAUUGUAGUACCGGUGAAGAUGCCGGUUACCCGCGACUAGACGGAAAGACCCCAUGGAGCUUCACUGUAGCUUAAUAUUGAAUUUUGGUAUUUCAUGUACAGGAUAGGUGGGAGACUGGGAAAUACAGGCGUCAGCUUGUAUGGAGUCACUGUUGGGAUACCACUCUUGAGGUGCUGAAAUUCUAACCUGCGUCUUUGAAUCAAGACGGGGGACAUUGUUAGGUGGGCAGUUUGACUGGGGCGGUCGCCUCCAAAAGAGUAACGGAGGCGCUCAAAGGUUCGCUCAGCAUGGACGGAAACCAUGCCAAAGAGUGCAAACGCAAAAGCGAGCCUAACUGCGAGACUGACGGGUCGAGCAGUAACGAAAGUUGGAGUUAGUGAUCCGGCGGUAUGUGAGUGGAAAUGCCGUCGCUCAACGGAUAAAAGCUACCCUGGGGAUAACAGGCUGAUCUCCCCCAAGAGUCCACAUCGACGGGGAGGUUUGGCACCUCGAUGUCGGCUCAUCGCAUCCUGGGGCUGAAUUCGGUCCCAAGGGUUUGGCUGUUCGCCAAUUAAAGCGGUACGCGAGCUGGGUUCAGAACGUCGUGAGACAGUUCGGUCCCUAUCUGUCGUGGGCGUAGGAUAUUUGAAAGGAGCUGUCCCUAGUACGAGAGGACCGGGAUGGACGCACCUCUGGUGCACCAGUUGUCACGCCAGUGGCACAGCUGGGCAGCUAAGUGCGGAACGGAUAAACGCUGAAAGCAUCUAAGCGUGAAGCCGACCUUAAGAUAAGAUAUCCGUUCUUCGGAAUAAGACCCCUUGUAGACUACGAGGUUGAUAGGCUUAAAGUGUAAGCAUGGUGACAUGUUUAGCUUGCAAGUACUAAUCGGUCGAUUGCUUUUCCU